rnacentral:lncRNA from 7 species
ACUCCGCAUUUGCGAGUGGGCUGCGCGCUGCUGCUGAGCUGCUGCCUCGGGGUCAGCUGAGCCGUGGCAGUGCCCACACCUGCUGCUGUGCUGGUGCUUGCAGUCCCCCAGCUUGCGUGUUUAAACAGGACUGAGGCAGCUCAGCUCCUGCAGAGCAUCUCGCACCUCUCUGCCGGGAAGGUGUGAUGCGUUUGGCAGCCGCCGUUCCCUCCUGGGGAGCUUCCUAAUGGAUCUGUGAAAGCAGAGGUUACUCGGAGGCACUUCCAAGGAUGAAGUCAUUGGCUUCACACUGAGAUGGAAGAUUUCAGCCAGGCCUGAUGGUUUCAAUAAAGCAAAGCUCGUGAGCUCUCUCUUGGCCCAAACAGGAUGAUUUCUUUGUGUGCAAGGAUAUGGAUGGAGGACAGCAGCCCCUGUGUGCCCAAUGGGGCGACAAGCACUGCCUGCAGUGACAACACGCAGAGCUGCUACAUCUCCCAGAGACUUAUUCCCAAUUCCCAGCAUUGGAACCAUUCCCAUUCAAUCCUAUCGAAGAUGGGGAGAAGAAAUCUUCCUGUCUCAGCAAAAGGUGCAUCCACACUCAGAGCUGCAUUCACUUGAGGCUCUGGCAGGCAAAAUUCAGUCCAGGUCUCUUUUUUUUCCUUGUUAAUUCAGCAUUUGUUUUUAAUUUUGGAGGGUUCAGAGUUAAGACAUUUUGCUUUUUCUGUAUUCGUAUAUAAUUACAUGCUGUUAUGGUAACUUAGGCCAGAUCCACAGCCCAGUGAAACGAGUGUGAAUAUCUCCAACUUCAGUCAGAAAACAGAGCGCAGAGCUGAUUAAACAG